UGGGGAAUAUUGCACAAUGGGCGCAAGCCUGAUGCAGCCAUGCCGCGUGUGUGAAGAAGGCCUUCGGGUUGUAAAGCACUUUCAGCGGGGAGGAAGGGAGUAAAGUUAAUACCUUUGCUCAUUGACGUUACCCGCAGAAGAAGCACCGGCUAACUCCGUGCCAGCAGCCGCGGUAAUACGGAGGGUGCAAGCGUUAAUCGGAAUUACUGGGCGUAAAGCGCACGCAGGCGGUCUGUCAAGUCGGAUGUGAAAUCCCCGGGCUCAACCUGGGAACUGCAUUCGAAACUGGCAGGCUAGAGUCUUGUAGAGGGGGGUAGAAUUCCAGGUGUAGCGGUGAAAUGCGUAGAGAUCUGGAGGAAUACCGGUGGCGAAGGCGGCCCCCUGGACAAAGACUGACGCUCAGGUGCGAAAGCGUGGGGAGCAAACAGG
rnacentral:rRNA from 1 species